rnacentral:rRNA from 1 species
GUGUUAGUGGAACGGUCUGGAAAGUCCGACGGUACAGGGUGAUAGUCCCGUACACCAAAAAGCUCAGGCUGUGAACUCGAAGAGUAGGGCGGGACACGUGGUAUCCUGUCUGAAUAUGGGGGGACCAUCCUCCAAGGCUAAAUACUCCUGACUGACCGAUUGUGAACCAGUACCGUGAGGGAAAGGCGAAAAGAACCCCGGCGAGGGGAGUGAAAAAGAACCUGAAACCGUGUACGUACAAGCAGUGGGAGCACCUUCGGGUGUGACUGCGUACCUUUUG